rnacentral:rRNA from 1 species
UACGUAGGGACCAAGCGUUGUUCGGAUUUACUGGGCGUAAAGGGCGCGUAGGCGGCGCGGUAAGUCACUUGUGAAAUCUCUGAGCUUAACUCAGAACGGCCAAGUGAUACUGCAGUGCUAGAGUGUGGAAGGGGCAAUCGGAAUUCUUGGUGUAGCGGUGAAAUGCGUAGAUAUCAAGAGGAACACCUGAGGUGAAGACGGGUUGCUGGGCCAACACUGACGCUGAGGCGCGAAAGCCAGGGGAGCAAACGGGAUUAGAUACCCCUGUAGUCC